GACGAACGCUGGCGGCGUGCUUAACACAUGCAAGUCGAACGCUGAAGCUCAGCUUUUGUUGGGUGGAUGAGUGGCGAGCGGGUGAGUAACACGUGAGUAACCUGCCCCCUUCUUUGGGAUAACGCCCGGAAACGGGUGCUAAUACUGGAUAUUCACUUGUCUUCGCAUGGGGGUUGGUGGAAAGGGUUUUUCUGGUGGUGGAUGGGCUCGCGGCCUAUCAGCUUGUUGGUGGGGUGAUGGCCUACCAAGGCUUUGACGGGUAGCCGGCCUGAGAGGGUGAACGGUCACAUUGGGACUGAGAUACGGCCCAGACUCGUACGGGAGGCAGCAGUGGGGAAUAUUGCACAAUGGGCGCAAGACUGAUGCAGCGACGCAGCGUGAGGGAUGGAGGCCUUCGGGUUGUGAACCUCUUUCGCUCAUGGUCAAGCCGCAACAAUGGUUGUGGUGAGGGUAGUGGGUAAAGAAGCGCCGGCUAACUACGUG
rnacentral:rRNA from 1 species